GGCCCCGCCCAGGCUCUGGUCCCUGCGACCAGCUUCCGGAGCCGCGCCGCCAAUUCGCUCCCCUAGUCCUGCUGGGGUUCCCAGCGGCUUACGAAGCGGCGAGUGACCGUAACAGUGAGCGGUCCUGCCGAGAGCGCCCCGGUGCCCGGCUCCGUCCGAACACUCAUGUCAUAUUCACUCUGCGAAGUAAACGUCUUUAAAAACUGCGUUACCGGCGACGAAACAGACUCGGGAAAGGGAGACUCGCCUGUCCAAAGUCGCGGCUAAGGAGCGAGGACCGCGUUUCAGGGCCGGUCUGACUGGUUCCCGGCCCGCGCCCCCGCCAUGCGCUGCUGCAACAGUCACCUGGUGACGCUGCAGCCCUCCCCGCCCUCCCCUGAAACCAGAGAGGGCUGGGGACACUUUUUAAACGAAGUGUCCUGAUUACUGGUCCUCAGCUCUCGGGCAGCGGUGCCUUUGUGAGGUCCUUAUUUGUGGAUGGUUCGUGGAGGGAGCAGCCCUAAGCCGGGGCCAGGCGAACUACACGGCUGAACUGCCUUGUCGUCCUGCAGUCUUCCUUCACAGUCAGUUCGUCCUCCCCAGCUCCUCCUCCAGGAUUUUUUCUGUCGCUGGUUAGAUUGUCCCGCCCACUUUCUGCCUUCCGGCUGGCUGUGUCCUGCCCUCACUCUCCCCAGACCGGUCCCGUGACUGUGACUGUAGGCAAACUUCCCUGUGGUUUCUUGCACCCUCUAGAAGCUUGUGCAACACCACCCUGACAGGAAGGGACCAGGCCCCUCGCCCUCACCCCUGUUCCCUCAUCACUCUGCUCAGAGGGUUUGUGACUCAAAGCCUCUAGCACACUUGCAUGUUUUGGAGAAGAGUACAAGAUGCAAUCCUCUAACUAUUGUUUGAGAUAAAAUUGUUAUUGUGGUCGAACCUCUUUGCCCGGCCAUUCAGUUGGAAACAGUGCAGGGUGAAUGACAAGCCUCUGGGGAAGGAACCCUGGCUUCUGUCCUUCUCAGCCUAUGACCUUGAGCAAGUCAUGACCUUCUCCCAGCCUCAACUUUCUCAUCAGCAAAAUGGGGAUAACAAUUAUCUGCAAAAUGAGGCUAAUGUCAGCUUUGGCUUUCCCAUAGGGUUGUUGUAAAGAUAAAAUGCAAUAAAAGUAUGUGAGAGCAACUUGUCAACUGGGAAGCCAGCCCUUCAUAUCUGUGAGUUAUUCCUAGGAUGUUGUGGGAAAUGAGGUUUUGGGAAAACAGACUAUUGAUCCAUUUAUUGAAACUCAUUUAUUUAACAAGUGUGCUUUGAAGGCUGGCUGUGUUCCAGGCCUCAGGUGAGAGGUGAGCUUGAAUGAACCCACCCUGCUCCAGUUCCCCUCUGCAGUGGCCCAGAGGGAGGCUCCUGUGCUCUUGGCAAUAGGGGUUAGUUUAAGGAAUCAGAUGCCCCAUGACCUGGCCCCUAGAAGGGAUGGUCUGUAGGACAACUGGCUCCCCAGGCCUCCCUUGGCUCUCAGGCCCCACUUCAGAGGCAUCAUCUCCUGCCAGGAUGUCAGCUUCACUUUCAGCCAUUUCUGUCACCUGCUCUCUCUGUUCUUUCUGUACUUCCUAACUUCUGUUUACUCAUUUGUACUUCCUCCACUCUCUGAACUCUGCACGUCAGGACAUUUCAGCGGGGCUUCCCUUAACUGACUCAGAGACAAUCUCACAGUGAACUCCUGGUUUGAGUCAGGGUGUGUCCUAGGUGUCUGCACUGCCACCAGUCAGGGUGUGUCCUUGGUGUCUGCACUGACACUAGGUGCCAAGAUCCAUGAGCAAAGUGAAGCCUCAGGAGAUUAGCCCUGAGCUAGCAUCUGCUGCCAAUCCUCCUCUUUUUGCUGAGGAAGAUUGACCCUGAGCUAACAUCUGUACCCAUC
rnacentral:lncRNA from 1 species